AUAGAGAAUAGUUAGUGGCAGACGGGUGAGUAAUGCAUAGGAAUCUACCUAGUAGUAUGGGAUAGCCACUAGAAAUGGUGGGUAAUACUGUAUAAUCCCUGCGGGGGAAAGAUUUAUCGCUAUUAGAUGAGCCUAUGUUAGAUUAGCUAGUUGGUAGGGUAAAGGCCUACCAAGGCGAUGAUCUAUAGCUGGUCUGAGAGGAUGAUCAGCCACACUGGAACUGAGAUACGGUCCAGACUCCUACGGGAGGCAGCAGUGGGGAAUAUUGGACAAUGGGCGCAAGCCUGAUCCAGCUAUGCCGCGUGAGUGAGGAAGGCCUUAGGGUUGUAAAACUCUUUCAGUAGGGAAGAUAAUGACGGUACCUACAGAAGAAGUCCCGGCAAACUCCGUGCCAGCAGCCGCGGUAAUACGGAGGGGGCAAGCGUUGUUCGGAAUUAUUGGGCGUAAAGGGCAUGUAGGCGGUUCGGUAAGUAAAAGGUGAAAUGCCAGGGCUUAAC
rnacentral:rRNA from 1 species